rnacentral:rRNA from 1 species
AUACGGAGGGUGCAAGCGUUACUCGGAAUCACUGGGCGUAAAGCGCGCGCAGGCGGCUAUUUAAGUUGGAUGUGAAAGCCUACGGCUCAACCGUAGAACUGCAUCCAAAACUAUUUAGCUAGAGUGUGGGAGAGGAAGAUGGAAUUAGUUGUGUAGGGGUAAAAUCCGUAGAGAUAUCUACGAAUACCAAAAGCGAAGGCAAUCUUCUGGAACACUACUGACGCUGAGGCGCGAAAGCGUGGGGAGCAAACGGGAUUAGAAACCCCAGUAGUCC